rnacentral:rRNA from 1 species
UACGUAGGGGGGCUAGCGUUGUCCGGAAUCAUUGGGCGUAAAGCGCGCGUAGGCGGCCCGGUAAGUCCGUUGUGAAAGUCAAAGGCUCAACCUUUGAAAGCCGAUGGAUACUGCCGGGCUAGAGUCCGGAAGAGGCGAGUGGAAUUCCUGGUGUAGCGGUGGAAUGCGCAGAUAUCAGGAGGAACACCGGUGGCGAAGGCGGGACUCUGGGCCGAUACUGACGCUGAGGAGCGAAAGCGUGGGGAGCAAACAGG